GACGAACGCUGGCGGCGUGCUUAACACAUGCAAGUCGAACGGAAAGGCCCUGCUUUUGUGGGGUGCUCGAGUGGCGAACGGGUGGGUAACACGUGAGUAACCUGCCCUUGACUUUGGGAUAACUUCAGGAAACUGGGGCUAAUACCGGAUAGGAGCUCCUGCUGCAUGGUGGGGGUUGGAAAGUUUCGGCGGUUGGGGAUGGACUCGCGGCUUAUCAGCUUGUUGGUGGGGUAGUGGCUUACCAAGGCUUUGACGGGUAGCCGGCCUGAGAGGGUGACCGGCCACAUUGGGACUGAGAUACGGCCCAGACUCCUACGGGAGGCAGCAGUGGGGAAUAUUGCACAAUGGGCGGAAGCCUGAUGCAGCAACGCCGCGUGCGGGAUGACGGCCUUCGGGUUGUAAACCGCUUUCGCCUGUGACGAAGCGUGAGUGACGGUAAUGGGUAAAGAAGCACCGGCUAACUACGUGCCAGCAGCCGCGGUGAUACGUAGGGUGCGAGCGUUGUCCGGAUUUAUUGGGCGUAAAGGGCUCGUAGGUGGUUGAUCGCGUCGGAAGUGUAAUCUUGGGGCUUAACCCUGAGCGUGCUUUCGAUACGGGUUGACUUGAGGAAGGUAGGGGAGAAUGGAAUUCCUGGUGGAGCGGUGGAAUGCGCAGAUAUCAGGAGGAACACCAGUGGCGAAGGCGGUUCUCUGGGCCUUUCCUGACGCUGAGGAGCGAAAGCGUGGGGAGCGAACAGGCUUAGAUACCCUGGUAGUCCACGCUGUAAACGGUGGGUACUAGGUGUGGGGUCCAUUCCACGGGUUCCGUGCCGUAGCUAACGCUUUAAGUACCCCGCCUGGGGAGUACGGCCGCAAGGCUAAAACUCAAAGGAAUUGACGGGGCCCCGCACAAGCGGCGGAGCAUGCGGAUUAAUUCGAUGCAACGCGUAGAACCUUACCUGGGUUUGACAUGGAUCGGGAGUGCUCAGAGAUGGGUGUGCCUCUUUUGGGGUCGGUUCACAGGUGGUGCAUGCCUGUCGUCAGCUCGUGUCGUGAGAUGUUGGGUUAAGUCCCGCAACGAGCGCAACCCUUGUUCACUGUUGCCAGCACGUUAUGGUGGGGACUCAGUGGAGACCGCCGGGGUCAACUCGGAGGAAGGUGGGGAUGACGUCAAGUCAUCAUGCCCCUUAUGUCCAGGGCUUCACGCAUGCUACAAUGGCUGGUACAGAGAGUGGCGAGCCUGUGAGGGUGAGCGAAUCUCGGAAAGCCGGUCUCAGUUCGGAUUGGGGUCUGCAACUCGACCUCAUGAAGUCGGAGUCGCUAGUAAUCGCAGAUCAGCAACGCUGCGGUGAAUACGUUCCCGGGGCU
rnacentral:rRNA from 1 species